UACGUAGGGAGCAAGCGUUGUCCGGAAUCAUUGGGCGUAAAGCGCGCGUAGGCGGCUUCAUAAGUCCGUUGUGAAAGUCAAAGGCUCAACCUUUGAACGCCGAUGGAUACUGUGGAGCUAGAGUACGGAAGAGGCGAGUGGAAUUCCUGGUGUAGCGGUGGAAUGCGCAGAUAUCAGGAGGAACACCAAUAGCGAAGGCGGCUCGCUGGGCCAUUCCUGACGCUGAGACGCGAAAGCUAGGGGAGCGAACAGG
rnacentral:rRNA from 1 species